AUGUGGUCAAGCUACAAAGAGCCUAUGAGGAAUGACUUGGUCAGUUCAGGCGAAGAAGGACGUGGUAAGCGGCGAUACUCCUGGGGGAGUCGCAAACAGGCUUUGAUCCCAGGGUUUCCGAAUGGGGCAACCCUUCCUGAGUCAUGUCAGGAAACAUCUCCGUAAAUCAAAUAGCGGAGGAUGAGCCAAACCGGGGGAAGUGAAACAUCUCAGUACCCCGAGGAAAAGAAACCGCAUGGUAUUCCCUUAGUAGCGGCGAGCGAAGCGGGAAAAGCCUAAAUCCCGGUGACGCAAUAGUCUGCAUGCGUUGUCAUCGGGAAGUUGUGGGACUAUCCGGACGGACAUGCAGGUCCGUCGGAGAGUUACAAAAUUCUUGUUUAGCAGAAAGACCUGGAAUGGUCUGCCAAAGAGGGUGAAAGCCCCGUAUGCGAAAAGCAAGGAUCUCUCUGGGAUGGUAUCCCAAGUACUACGGGGCACGUGGAAUCCCGUAGGAAUCCGCCCUGACCACAGGGUAAGGCUAAAUACUAGAACUGGACCGAUAGUGGACAAGUACCGUGAGGGAAAGUUGAAAAGAACCCCGGGAGGGGAGUGAAAUAGAACCUGAAUUCAUAGGCUUACAAGCGGUCGGAGCCCUAUGCUCUUGCGCAAGCGAGAGAACGGGUUACGGCGUGCCUUUUGCAUAAUGAACCGGCGAGUUAUACUAGUAAGCAAGCUUAAUCCUUUCUAAGGGGAGGAGGCGCAGGGAAACCGAGUCCGAAUAGGGCGACAAGUUUGCUGGUAUAGACCCGAAGCUGAGUGAUCUACCCAUGGCCAGUGCGAAGUCUGCCGAAAGGCAGAUGGAGGUACGAACCCAUGACUGUUGAAAAAGUCCGGGAUGAGCUGUGGGUCGGAGUGAAAGGCUAAUCAAACUCAGUAAUAGCUGGUUCUCCUCGAAACGUCUUUAGGGACGGCCUUGAGUCAAUGAGCGAUGAGGGUAGAGUGCUGAAUGGGCUAGGGACCCCACCAGGUUGCCAAACCCAACCAAACUCCGAAUAUCAUCGUUUCUUAUCUCAGGAGACAGACAGUGCGGGCUAAGCUGCAUUGUCAAAAGGGAGACAGCCCAGACCGCCAGUUAAGGUCCCAAAGGAUAGGCUAAGUGGUAAAGGAUGUGGGACAACACGGACAACCAGGAUGUUGGCUCAGAGGCAGCCAUCAUUUAAAGAGUGCGUAACAGCUCACUGGUCGAGUUGCCCUGCGCCCAAGAUAAUCGGGGCUCAAGCCUAUUACCGAAACUGCGGAAAUGUUUCGGCCUGCGUGCCGGAACGUUUGGUAGAGGAGCGUACUGUUGUAGGUUGAAGGUGGAUCGAGAGGACCACUGGACGAAGCAGUAGUGAUUAUGUCGGUAUGAGUAGCGAAAAUCACGGCGAGAAACCGUGAGGCCGAAAGUCUAAGGUUUCCUGGGGAAGGUUAAUCCGCCCAGGGUGAGUCGAUCCUAAGCCGAGGCUGUUGAACGCGUAGGCGAUGGAAAUCCGGUUAAUAUUCCGGAACUGGUCAAGGGCGUUAUCACCUUGAUGUUGACGCAGGAGGUUGGGGUCAGCGGACUGUUGGAUGUGUCCGUCUAAGCUCGUAGUCCUGUCCGCAAGGGCAGGAUGAGAGGCGAAUGCGAGGCCGAUCUACGGAAAGGCCGAAGUGAUCUUAAACCACGCUGCCGAGAAAAUUCAUCAAGGGAGUUCUUGGCCAAUCGUACCGCAAUCCGACACAGGUAGACCUCCAAAAUAUGGUAAGGCCCUCGAGAGAACCCUCGUUAAGGAACUCGGCAAUCUAGCCCCGUAAGUUAGCAAUAAGGGGUGCCUUGCGAUGUGUAGUCCUUUACGGAUGAAGCAUGGCAGGGUUUCAAUGAAGUGGCUCGGGUGACUGUUUAGCAAAAACCAAGCACUCUGCAAACUCGAAAGAGGACGUAUAGGGUGUGACACCUGCCCGGUGCUGGAAGGUUAAGGAGAGAGGUUAUCCCCGCAAGGGGAGAAGCUUCGAACCGAAGCCCCAGUGAACGGCGGCCGUAACUAUUGUUUGGACCAUCCCGUGAAGUUCCGGGACACACAGUAGUUGUAAAAUCUGGCUAUAUGCUGGAAAAUCCCGUUAAGUCAACAGUACUUUCAUCUUCAAGGUGAAAUGUGACAAUCUGUUGAAUAGGGACAAUCAGCAGGAAAGACCUGAAGAAGGAGGUCUUUAUGAAACCAGAAAUCGGCUACUACUUGGCGGGUUUUGCCGACGGAGAAGGAAGUUUUAAUAUAUCCUUCAGACAACGGCAAGACUACAAGUCACCGUGGAAAGUUUCUCUUUGUUUCAACAUCUCCCAGAAAGACAAAGUUAUCCUUGCAUUGUUCAAGCAUCAUUUAGGUUGCGGAACGUUACGAAGCCGCCCCGAUGGUGUUUGGUAUUUUGAAGUGAAUAACUUUAGGGCAAUCUGUGAGGAUGUGAUUCCUUUCUUUAAGCGAUUCCGUUUUCUUUCUGCAAAGAAAAAACGGGAUUUUGCGAAAUUCUGCGAACUGGCAGAAAUGAUAAAGAAGGGGGAACAUCUUAAGAGUAGCGGUAUUCGAAAGAUUCUUGAGAUCAGAAGAGAAAUGAACGACGGUGGCAAGCGCAAGUAUAGCGAAGCUGAAAUACUGGUGAAAUAUCAGGAAUCCUCAGAGACUAUACGCCAGACAGACGAUCAGAAGUUAUCGUCCGAUGAUAUAGUCCGGUCUUCCGAGAAAUCGGAAGUUAACACAAACGAACGGUCCUAAGGUAGCGAAAUUCCUUGUGGGGUAAGUUCCCACGCGCACGAAUGGUGUAACAACUUGAGCGCUGUCUCAACGAGGGACUCGGCGAAAUUGUGGUGACAGUGAAGACGCUGUCUACCCGCACUUGGACGAAAAGACCCCGGAACCUUUACUCUACUCUGGUAUUGAAUUUUGAUCCGAUCUGUGUAGGAUAGGUGGGAGACUUUGAAGUCCGGGCGUUAGCCCGGAUGGAGUCGUCGGUGAAAUACCACCCUUAUUGUAUUAAGAUUCUAACCUUCUGCCGUGAAUCCGGCGAAGGAACAUUGCCAGACGGGGAGUUUGACUGGGGCGGUUUCCUCCUAAAAUAUAACGGCGGAGCCCAAAGCUUACCUCAAGACGGUCGGCAAUCGUCUGUUGAGUGUAAAGGCAUAUGGUAGGUUGACUGUGAUCCCGAUAGGGAGAACAGAUGCGAAAGCAGGGCUUAGUGAUCCGGUACUAGAUAGUGGGAUUGGUAUCGCUCAACAAAUAAAAGGUACUCUGGGGAUAACAGGCUUAUCGCGCUCGAGAGUUCAUAUCGACAGCGCGGUUUGGCACCUCGAUGUCGGCUCAUCCUAUCCUGGGGCUGGAGAAGGUCCCAAGGGUCCGGCUGUUCGCCGGUUAAAAGGGUACGUGAGUUGGGUUCAGAACGUCGUGAGACAGUUCGGUCUCUAUCCAGUGUGGGCGCAAGGAAGUUUGAUGGGAGUUGUCCUUAGUACGAGAGGACCAGGACAAACGAACCUCUGGUGUUCCAGCUGUCCUGCCAAGGGCAAGGGCUGGGUAGUCAUGUUCGGAAGAGAUAAGCGCUGAAGGCAUAUAAGCGCCAAGCUCGCCCAAAGAAUAGACUUCCCGUUCGUGGCAACACGGACAUAGACACCCGGAAGACUACCGGGUCAAUAGGUCCUAAGUGUAAGAUCCGUCAAGGAUUUAAGCUUAAAGGAUACUAAUUGUCGAUCGGCUUGACC
rnacentral:rRNA from 1 species